rnacentral:rRNA from 1 species
UACGUAGGGGGCAAGCGUUGUCCGGAAUCAUUGGGCGUAAAGAGCGUGUAGGCGGCUUGGCAAGUCUGGUGUGAAAUCUUGCGGCUCAACCGCAAGCGGUCACUGGAAACUGCCUCGCUAGAGUCCGGAAGAGGAGAGCGGAAUUCCUGGUGUAGCGGUGAAAUGCGCAGAUAUCAGGAGGAACACCAAUUGCGAAGGCAGCUCGCUGG